UUGAACGCUGGCGGCAUGCCUUACACAUGCAAGUCGAACGGCAGCACGGGAGCAAUCCUGGUGGCGAGUGGCGAACGGGUGAGUAAUAUAUCGGAACGUGCCCAGUCUGGGGGAUAACGUAGCGAAAGCUACGCUAAUACCGCAUACGAUCUAUGGAUGAAAGCGGGGAUCGCAAGACCUCGCGCGAUUGGAGCGGCCGAUAUCAGAUUAGGUAGUUGGUGAGGUAAAGGCUCACCAAGCCGACGAUCUGUAGCUGGUCUGAGAGGACGACCAGCCACACUGGGACUGAGACACGGCCCAGACUCCUACGGGAGGCAGCAGUGGGGAAUUUUGGACAAUGGGCGCAAGCCUGAUCCAGCAAUGCCGCGUGCAGGAUGAAGGCCUUCGGGUUGUAAACUGCUUUUGUACGGAACGAAACGGUGAGCUCUAAUACAGUUUGCUAAUGACGGUACCGUAAGAAUAAGCACCGGCUAACUACGUG
rnacentral:rRNA from 1 species